GCCAAAGUGGCGGAACUGGUAGACGCGCACGACUCAAAAUCGUGUUUCUUCGGAAGUGUGGGUUCGAGUCCCACCUUUGGUA
rnacentral:tRNA from 1 species